ensembl:lncRNA
GAGCUGUCAGAAUAUAGCAAGCACUUAAUGUUUACCGGUAACGUAAUUGGCGGUUCACUUGACCUGAGCUCUUCCCAGGCAUUUUUGUUUCAAUAUAUCAUUGGAGAGUAGGCAUUCAUGCCGAAAAUCGUGUUUACUCUGCACUAGUUCAACAACAACAGCAUAAGAACGCGUUACUAGGCUACAUAUCCGUUACAAUGAAUGUGAAGAAAUUGGAAUAUCUCACCUAGCGUCCCGUACCCCAGUCUCAUUCCAAAUACCCAUCAAACGAAAAUGCUAGCUGUGUCCUCCCUAACUCUGUUGCGUGAAUCCACCUGCUAACACGUUGCUUAUGUCCUGUUUGUUGAUAUCUCCAGGCACAAUGACUGCCUUAUGCCACUGCCUAAUGUGAAAAGCUGAAAGAGACAGUCGAAUCCUGCAUGGAGUAAUGAAAAAAGAUUCAACAGUAUAUUACACCCAUGUCAUCAUCAUAUCCUUAAGCACAGUAUCAAAGUCUCCUCAGAGAGGCAUUUUAAGUCAAGAGCCCACUUGGAUGAGAGGUGACAGAGAGCGUCAGAGUGAAGGCAAAGCCUGCAACCCUUUGAUACUAAAUCAUUCUUCUCUUUUUAAAAUAAACAUCUUCACUACCC